rnacentral:rRNA from 1 species
GACGAACGCUGGCGGCGUGCCUAAUACAUGCAAGUAGAACGCACAGUUUAUACCGUAGCUUGCUACACCAUAGACUGUGAGUUGCGAACGGGUUAGUAACGCGUAGGUAACCUGCCUGGUAGCGGGGGAUAACUAUUGGAAACGAUAGCUAAUACCGCAUAAUAUUAAUUAUUGCAUGAUAAUUAAUUGAAAGGUGCAAUUGCACCACUACCAGAUGGACCUGCGUUGUAUUAGCUAGUAGGUGAGGUAACGGCUCACCUAGGCGACGAUACAUAGCCGACCUGAGAGGGUGAUCGGCCACACUGGGACUGAGACACGGCCCAGACUCCUACGGGAGGCAGCAGUAGGGAAUCUUCGGCAAUGGACGAAAGACUGACCGAGCAACGCCGCGUGAGUGAAGAAGGUUUUCGGAUCGUAAAGCUCUGUUGUAAGAGAAGAACGGGUGUGAGAGUGGAAAGUUCACACUGUGACGGUAUCUUACCAGAAAGGGACGGCUAACUACGUG